rnacentral:rRNA from 1 species
GUAAGCUUGCUGCUUCGCUGACGAGUGGCGGACGGGUGAGUAAUGUCUGGGAAACUGCCUGAUGGAGGGGGAUAACUACUGGAAACGGUGGCUAAUACCGCAUAACGUCGCAAGACCAAAGAGGGGGACCUUCGGGCCUCUUGCCAUCAGAUGUGCCCAGAUGGGAUUAGCUUGUUGGUGAGGUAACGGCUCACCAAGGCGACGAUCCCUAGCUGGUCUGAGAGGAUGACCAGCCACACUGGAACUGAGACACGGUCCAGACUCCUACGGGAGGCAGCAGUGGGGAAUAUUGCACAAUGGGCGCAAGCCUGAUGCAGCCAUGCCGCGUGUAUGAAGAAGGCCUUCGGGUUGUAAAGUACUUUCAGCGGGGAGGAAGGUGUUGUGGUUAAUAACCGCAGCAAUUGACGUUACCCGCAGAAGAAUGCACCGGCUAACUCCGUGCCA